rnacentral:rRNA from 1 species
UACAGAGGGGGCAAGCGUUGUUCGGAAUUACUGGGCGUAAAGGGCGCGUAGGCGGCCUGCCAAGUCGAACGUGAAAUCCCCGGGCUCAACCCGGGAACUGCGUCCGAUACUGGCAGGCUCGAAUUCGGGAGAGGGAUGCGGAAUUCCAGGUGUAGCGGUGAAAUGCGUAGAUAUCUGGAGGAACACCGGUGGCGAAGGCGGCAUCCUGGACCGAUAUUGACGCUGAGGCGCGAAAGCCAGGGGAGCAAACGGG